GGAGUUGUGAGAAUUUACUUGAAGGUGGAAUAAUUGUUGCUAGAGGCUGACGAGAAUCCGGGAAGGGAAGAGAUUGAUAGAAAUUGCCAGAACAGAAGGGGCACAUUCUGCUGUCUUACAGCACAGUGGCCUGACCACAGUUCACGUGGCCUGGUAGGCAUUCGAUGACGUCACUGCUGCAUAGGUUCACUUCCGGUGAGAUCCUCUUUGUGCAUCUCCCUUGUCCCAUCACGUCUACAUUCUAGCCAAGUUCUCUGCUGUCUUC
ensembl:sense_intronic Gm42558 predicted gene 42558